GAAGACGGAAGACUGAGGAAGGAAGAGGAGAGAGGGAAGACUCCGUCAUAACUUCUGGAUCACUUAACAGGCUGAACCCUUUUCCUCCCUUGCGGUCAGGACAUCACCUGGGGAGACUCCUCAAGGCUGAGAGCCCUCUCCCAUCUUCUGGGACUCUGACCAKGCCAAGAAAUCUGAAGGCUGUACGUGCUACCAGUCCAACAGAGAGGCUGGAUAGGGAGCACUCUGCUGCGUUUUCAGCUGGGAUGUUUCUUAUUUUAUGUCAUGAGACUUUUCUCCUGGAAAAUGUUUCUGAUGGCAAGUUCCCAGCCCUCACUCCCACUCUCAUCUGGAAUGCUUCCCUGAGCAGGAUGGACGGUGAGCAAGCUCCGGGAGGCUUGGAUCGCUUGGACUCAUAAGGACAGACGCUGGCAUGAGAACUGGGCUUCCAUGGCCUGGAAAACAUCACACAAUGCACUGAAAUGUGUCACCUACCAGGGGCUGAAGACGUGGACACCUUCCACUUCAGGGGCACGUGGGAUGCCAAUGCGGCAACUAAACCAGGUUUCAGGGACG